GAGGGGAAGAACGUGAGAAGCAGCAACAACCCAGACCUCAGAAGCAGAACGCGAGAGGUAAUUUCUUUAAUGUCACUUUGUAGUCGCCAAGUUGGACUGGUUAAGAAAUGGCUGUCACAGGAGGCUUUGCUUUUCUUCGGAUGGAUUUAGAAAAGUCCUCAUGGGUUAAGAAAUGGAAAUUGAAGUGGUACCGUUACUCAGUUCACUUUUAUCAGAAAUAAUGGGAAAACUUUUAGGAAGUGAAAGGGAAAUAGCUAAUGAAUUAAAAUUAGAUUGAGUGUACAUUUCCUUACAUGUACUCACAAAAAAACGUUUUCAUUGCGUUUCUAUUUGAUUAGGUUUAAUAUCAUUUUUAAAAUUCAGUUAGGUUAACUAGUAUAAAUUGCAAAAUCGUCAUGGUUUCAAAAAUGAAACACUGAGACUAUAGCAGCUCAUUGUGAAAAAGAUUUAAGGUACAUUUUCCUCAUUUAGAAUAUACAUACCCUACAUAAAGUGAACAUGCUAUUAUGUUAAAAUGACACAAUUAUCUAUGAGCACCUCAUUAAGACUACUGUGUAUCAGUACAGCUCCCAUGUCACAAACAAGAUUAAAUAUUCAAAAUUCUCAAAAGCCUUGCCAAAAUCAAUCCAUUGGAUUUUGUUCAAGAAUGAAACAUGAACCAGAGGUCACAAAUGAAACCUUUGGAGAAGUUCUUUUGAAACCGAAAAAGAGAAACUUUUCACCCAAAAGGUUGUGGAAAAUCAUGGCUUCUUUUAAUAAAUGGCUGAAUGAGAGGCUUGAAUCAAUUAGCUAAUUGCAGUCAACCAAGCUAGAUGGGCCCAAUGUCCUCCUCUCAUUUGUAACAAUAGUUCUAUUUUCAUCUUCUUCUUAUCCCUAAAAAUAUGAGCCCUUCAUGUCCUGUGCCGUGGGACAGAUUUUGCGAAGGGAUGUUUCAAGUCGGGGAUGAAAGCAGAACAGAGGAAAUAUUAAGGAAAUGACGGAGCAUAUGUACAUGCAUCUUCAAGCAAUCCAAAACGUAAAUUGUUGAUAUAAUACAUUACAUACAACUCAAGGACUUGUUGAAAUCCUUUGUUUCCUCUACCUGAUGAAGAAUACACACUAUGGUACAACGAGGAACUGAAGUACAUACUGAAAAUGAGAUGCCACUUGACAGAAGCAUGAGGAGACCUCGCCUGGCACUCCAGAAAAGUGCUACUGCCCUCCACUCCAUAUUGCACCAUCUC